GUCACGCACGCGGACCUCUUUGGUCCUGCUUUACAAUUAAUUUUCUGUUCACUUUGAGGCAGGAAGCAGCUUGUCCCGUUUGAAAGGGGUUGUUGUUCCAAAGUGCCACCCCUACCUCCUCCUCCAUCUUCCCCUGACCUCUGAAUAAGGAAGUUUUAUGCAGCUGACCUUUUGACUUUCGCGUCUGUGUAUUUAUGUCUGAGAAAAUAGUGAAAUUAUGACACUUAACUCUGUCGCCUACAUGUGUCUGGGACAGCUUUGUGUGGACUGUUAGGGCCAUUCAGACCAUAGGUCAGUCUGCGGCAGCCGACUCUCUGAUUUAAUAGCUCAAUAACUCAAGUGCAUUCGCACCGACAUGCCACGAAAACCUCAAAAAUGCAAUAAUCAGACAGAUUAUAAAGAAUAAAUGUUCCAAUGUUUAAUUUGUUGAUUAGAGUCAAAUGACUAUGGACGUUUUGGAUGCUGAUUGUGAGCUAACGUCUUAGGAUCAGUCUGUUAACGUGAACUUAGUGAAGAGUGAGAUGCCAGUUAAACAGUAUUAGGGGAUUCCCACAGACCGACAGCUAUAAAUCAGAGCUGCCUGUGAAUAAGUAUGCAGAAACAUCCGAUCUUAGCUUUAUACAUGCCACAGCAGCACUUCUAACUUUGUUUACGUCCUUUAUAAGCCUUAGAGACUGUGUAGUUUAGCAACUGCAGCGCUCUGAAAUAUUAUCAAUAUUUGAACUCUUCCAGAUAUUCCACAUCAUGACCUCAAACAUCUGUGUGCUUUAUUGGGGUUGUGCAAAAUGUAAUAAACCAACAAAAGGCGGUGCAUAGUUGUGAAGCGGAAGGAAAAUUAAUGGUUUCAACAACCAGUAUGUCAGAACCCAUGAGAGUGUGAUCUCACUUUCAGAGGAUCUUUGCUGGAGAGUUGAUCCACCUGCUGCUUCCACGCACCUGUGGCUAAUCAGCGCCUUUUGUUUGGUUGGCGCUCUAAAGGAGACGUCGAUACAAAGUUAUGCAUUUAUAAGCACGUAUGUGUGAGUGUAUGUUUAGGUAGAAUUUAUGGUAGAAUACAUGUAUAUAUAGAUAUGGAUAAAUAUUUAAUAAUAUUUAUUUAUUUACAUCACGAACCACACUCCAUACCAUUAAGUAGCGGUAAUGCUAACAGUUUGUUUCCAACCGACAAGAAGAAGAAGACGUCGAUCAUUUUACAUCUGAUGGUUAAAGCUGCAGCAGCUCCUUCCUCACCACAGAACCUGCCAUGAACACGAAGACUAGCGAACAUGGCCUGAUGACGGUGGAUAAAGUUUUUCUGUAUCUGCAGCAAACUGGCAGUCUUCAACAGCACAUACAAGAGCUUCCUCUCCAGAUUUACACACUGCUUCGUGUUAGUCUGUAUAAAAAUAUUCCAAAUAACUUUGCGUAUGUGGUUAUUGCAUACAAGCUAUGAAAAGUUCUGUGAGUAUUUAUUUUUUUUUAAUGGGUAUUUUAGAUUUUCAAUCAUAAACGUAAAGUGCCAUGUUAAGAAAUGGAAAAUAUUUCAGUACAACUAGAUUUGUAAAAGAAAAGACCUAAUAUUAUGACACAAACUAAACCAAUGUUGUUAAAGCGGUAAACUUAAAAACAUUAAAAAAAAAUUCAGACAUUUUAUGUCUACAGAAAAUUUGAUGUCUUAGAAAAAAAACAGCCACCCUGUGAUCCUGCAUCAAAAUUAACUUGAAAUGUAUCACUUGGUGUGAAGACUUUUUUUCCCCCCUCAACUUAGCAACUCGGUUGUCUUCUAUCUCCAUACAACAUGCAGUCAUGGUUGAAGCAAAGUAACGAGAACAUUUGUGGUAAAAGCGAGCAAACGACUAAUUCCACGCAUCUGUGGUGCUAUCUGUGAGUACCAAUUGUCUCUCAGAAGCUGGUGGUAAGCAGGGGUCUUGUACAUCUUCUUCAUGUGUGGUCACAGUGGUUUCACUUAGCUAUUUGGAGCUCAAUCAAGGAGCCCCUCUGAUCUCCAUGAGGUCCAGUUCCAGAAAACAAGAAUCCUCCUGCUGCAGCGGUAAAGCCAAGAUGCAGCCGACGCGCAAUCAGAUACCCUCUUAUCUGCUCGGCCUGGCUUGAUGUGGAUGUUAAUCAGCGAUAUAUCUCAGUAAUGGUGUUCCUGUUAAUUGCCUCCCCUUUUUGUGGCUGUGUUUACUUUCGCUCAUGAUUUCUAUCUGCUGAUGUGGUCAGAAAGGCAUAUGGAUUUGGUUUUCUGAUGCACGCCUUACUGAGCUCUCAGAGAGAUGCUGCCCUUGACUUUUGAAGUGGUUCUGAAAUGGAGAUGCUUGUCCCCUGUGCUGGUGUUGCUAUUCUGCCAAGGCUUGACUUUUGUUCUUACAAGCACUGUAGUUCUUAAUAAAUAAGAAAUCAUCUAAACAUUUAUUGGUUUCAGUAGAGUGAUUACACAAAGGGGAAAUAUUUUUAUAUAUUUUUUUGGAAUUUUUUUUUUUUUAAUGAUUGUGGGUUACAGUGAACAAAAAAAAAUCCAAUAUUCAGCAUCUUAGAAAAUGUAAUUGGGCUUAUUACUUUGCCAAUAAAAUGUCAUAAAUGCCAAAUGAAAUCUGUCCUUUUAUUGAAUACAACAUGUACUGAGAACCUGGUUGCAGCUACUUUUGUAAAGUUUCAUUGGUGUGUAGACCAUAACAUGACAUUUCUGUAUCUGAAAAUCAUUCUCAUUGAUCUUGUGCUGCUGUAAAAAAAAAUUCCAAGUGAGCAAUCUUGAGAUUUCUGUAGCUAUCAGUCAUGAUCAUCAAAUAAACAUUUGAAAUAAAUUCCUCUGUAACAUGAGUUUUUCACUGUUUUAUUUGUAUUGUUUGAAUCUUUGUUUUAUGUUGUGAUGGCUGAUGUAAACUGUGAAGCGCUUUGGUCAACUGCUGUUUUAAAUGUGCCAUGCAAAUAAAUUUGACAUUGAGA